CCAAUAGCGUAUAUUAAAGUUGUUGCAGUUAAAAAGCUCGUAGUUGAGUUUCGGGGUUAGUAAGUUGGUCGUGCCACUGGUAUGUACUGGCUUUACUGAUUCCUCCUUCUUGUAGAACCGUAAUGCCAUUCAGUUGGUGUUGCGGGGAAACAGGACUGUUACUUUGAAAAAAUUAGAGUGUUUAAAGCAGGCUAACGCCUGAAUACAUUAGCAUGGAAUAAUGAAAUAGGACGUUUGAUCCUAUUUUGUUGGUUUCUAGGAUUGACGUAAUGAUUAAUAGGGAUAGUUGGGGGCAUUAGUAUUCAAUUGUCAGAGGUGAAAUUCUUGGAUCUAUUGAAGACUGACUACUGCGAAAGCAUUUGCCAAGGAUGUUUUCAUUAAUCAAGAACGAAAGUUAGGGGAUCGAAGACGAUCAGAUACCGUCGUAGUCUUAACCAUAAACUAUGCCGACUAGGGAUCGGAUGAUGUUAAUUUUAUAAUGACUCAUUCGGCGCCUUACG
rnacentral:rRNA from 1 species